GAUGAUUUAGCUAUCAGACACGAGCAGCAGCAGCGCAUUGAUCAUCAUCAAGGACAUUCUUUGUGUGAUUUGCACACGUUUCAGUAUGGCCUCUGGAGCUGGCGGAAGUGUCAUCCCUUGCAAUAUUGACAUCUUGGCAGUCCUUCUGAUCAUAUAGGUCACACGUGUAAGCUUCCAGAGCCUCACAUAGUUCUGGUGAUGGGGUGAAACUUGUUCCUAGUUCUCUAAACAUAGUGAUGUAUUCUGUUUUUGAAAUUAGUUUUUUGUAUGCUUUUGCUUUCCCAACCUUAUGCAGAGCGCUCACUGUGUCACAUCCAGAAAAGGCAUGCAGACCUACAAGGGCAUCACAUUUGUCUUAGCCAAGAUGGGCAUGUAGCUUGGUAAUGUCAGUAAUGUGUGUGUUUCUCCCCUUGGCUGUAUGGAAAUGGAGGUGGCCAUCAAUGUGGCUGCAGAAAGCUAGAGCCAGCACAAAGACAUCGGUGUCUGGGCUCUUGAUUACCAGGUCAUGGCUGUGUUUGGCUGCAAGGGCUGCAUGCAGUAUCAUUCUGGUGUCUGCCACCUCUUGACUUAUCUCUAGGUCUUUGAGUUCCAGUAUCUCAAGGUCAGUAUAGCUCACAUUCAUCUUAAUUGCGUGACACUUGCUUCCAUGUGCAAUAACGACGGUUAUAUUGUCAAUUAUAUUCUUUGCAGAUGAGCUCCAAUAUUGGAAGAAAUAAUCCAGUAAGUUUUCUUUAUUUUGGCCACAUGCCAGGAAUUUUUCCCACUGCUUUGAGUUUUUUUUUUUUUGAUCAUCUCAAUAUAUUUAGAUUUUUUUGGUAGCCCUGUUCUGCACGCCGACUACGCUCAGCAUUUUUGAUGCUCAGGUUGCUGUAUGUGUCGCAUACAAAAUGAAGCUCUGUUGACUUGGUUGCCUUAGCUGAGUGAACUAAUGUCUUCAGUACAUGAUCAGCAUACAACCCAAAUGUUGGCUGUGGCUUUAGCUGUUUCACCAUAGCCAUAGCAUCCCAAAUCCAAACUGAGCCAUCAGGAAUGUCACUCACUGUUGCAGGCGGGUUGAUCUUAUCGAGCAAGAUGUGCAUCAGCUUAGCUUUGAUGGCUCUCUGGUCAAAACCAACAAAGUUGGAAAUUGACUGUGGAAAAGGACCCAAACUGGUUAUGGAAUGAUGCUUCGCCAUUGACGAUCCUUUUUUCACAGAUUUUUCAAAGUGGCAGCAGGAGUGAAGGUGCUUCUGUUGCAGUGGAACACACAGCAGGCAGAAGAACAGAAGCUUCUGCAUUUGAAUUAGAGGGUGAAGAGACUGCAGCCCUGGAAGCCCUGUUUGAUGAAGGAGAGUGAAGAAGCACCUUCUGCAGCACUGGAGGGGUCCUGUUGAACUGUGUAUAUGUAACGCAUGGUUAAUAGGAGAGAAGAGGCAAGAAGUUUCAAGAGCACUGAUUAUUUAAUGUGUAAGUGUUUUUGUUCCCUUGUGAAGAACUGCUGAAGCUGCGCACCUCUAUGAUGACAGCAUUAUGUAGCUUUGUUGUGUUAAAGUGCAAAUAUUGUGUUAAAA
ensembl:lncRNA